rnacentral:rRNA from 1 species
AUCAGAGUCAGUAUCGAUCCAGGUGGCCGCCUUCGCCACUGGUAUUCCUCCACAUCUCUACGCAUUUCACCGCUACACAUGGAAUUCUACCCCCCUCUACCGUACUCUAGCUUGCCAGUAUGUGAUGCAGUUCCAAGGUUGAGCCCUGGGCUUUCACAUCACACUUAACAAACCGCCUACGCGCGCUUUACGCCCAGUAAUUCCGAUUAACGCUUGCACCCUCCGU